rnacentral:rRNA from 1 species
GACGAACGCUGGCGGCGUGCUUAACACAUGCAAGUCGAACGGAAAGGCCUUUUCGGAGGUACUCGAGUGGCGAACGGGUGAGUAACACGUGGGUGAUCUGCCCUGCACUCUGGGAUAAGCCUGGGAAACUGGGUCUAAUACCGGAUAGGACCGCACUUUAGUGUGUGUGGUGGCAAGUUUUUUCGGUGUAGGAUGAGCCCGCGGCCUAUCAGCUUGUUGAUGGGGUAAUGGCCUACCAAGGCGGCGACGGGUAGCCGGACUGAGAGGUUGGUCGGCCACAUUGGGACUGAGAUACGGCCCAGACUCCUACGGGAGGCAGCAGUGGGGAAUAUUGCCCAAUGGGCGCAAGCCUGAUGCAGCGACGCCGCGUGGGGGAUGACGGCCUUCGGGUUGUAAACUCCUUUCGCCAGGGACGAGGCGUUUUGUGACGGUACCUGGAGAAGAAGCACCGGCUAACUACGUG